CAACAUCACUUUAUUUGCAAAUCUGGCUUGAAUAAUUUGGAGCACAUGGAAUGAAAUUUAUUUUGGCGGGAACAUGUGUGUGUAGGAAAUGUUAAUCUACUUUAAAUUAAAUAAUAUUAAAUAAUAAAUAGAUAUAGACGGCGCGCGCACACACAGAGAGCUAAACGCAGCCUCCCCUCUUUCUCCGGCGAAAACGCCGCCGCCUCUUUCCCAGCCUGACGCCACCUCUCAUCUCUCUUCCUCCCUCAUCGAUACACGCACACAAACACCUACGCAAACCCUUUCCCCUCUCUCUACUUCCUCUCUGCCACCGUUCGCCGGCGGAAAGCAUCCGCAGCAACAGCGGCGCUGCUUCAUCUCUCCUUUGACAUCCAACAGACCACAGCUCCAAACACACAUUGGCGCAUACUCACCAGGUGUUCGAUUAAAAGAGACAGAAAUUCGGUGGGGGAUUUUUGGGGCACCUAUUAAUUGAAUCCCCGAGCCGAUGGAAUUAUCCAAUUUUUUCAGAGUUCUCAAGGAGCUGAGAUGGGUGUUUGCUAGUUGCAUCGUUGGCAUGAGCGGUAUUGGUAAUAUAUGAUAAUAUUGAAAGAUAUUAUGGACUAGAUUAGGAUAUAUUUGAUAUAUUCUAAUAACACUUAAUUAAUUGGAAAUUAGUUGGACGAUUGGACCAAUUAUUUGGAGUAGAAUUGGUUUUCUUAGUAAGACAACUCUUUGGCUUAUAAGAGAAGACAACUCUUGGCUUACAAGGUAAGAGAAUUCUUUGGCUUAUAAGAAGGAGUUCUUGGUCUUACAAGUUGGGGGGUCUUUUGGCUUACAAGACACUAAGAGAGCACACUAUAGUUUCAAUCGGAGAUUUCCUAGCUGUCAAAGAUUGAAUCGUGUACUUAGAAUUGUUUCUGCAUCGAAUCAACAUACACAUGGAUACCUUAGUAGUGGAUUCACGGCAAGAAUCGAGACGCACACUUACCACACAACGAGUAAGUUAUUUUUAUUGUUGUGUGCUUAUCUCUACACAUGAUGCAUUUGUAAAUCUAGAUGUAAUCCUUGAAUGUAUAUUAUGUUGCGUAUCAUUAGAUGAUGUCAAGGAUAAUCAACAGUGGUAUCAGAGCCCGGGGCUCGAUUUACAAUUGUGAUUGUGUUCUAAUAACUUAUGGGUUAAGAAAUUUAAUUUGGGAUUAAAUAUGUUCAAAAUCUGUUUUGAAAUUGAUUUUUUUGAAAUGGUUUUGGACGUUUCUGAAAUUGGGUGAAUAUUGCCGGGCUAUAUUCAAACCUUCUUUGCUGGAUCACUGCUGCUGCCAUCGACCACCGCCGAUGCAGAGGGCGUGGGUGAUUGACGAGGCGGUGCAGGUGGGUCGGGGCUCGCCGGUGCGCCGCGCCCGACCACUCGCCGCCGUCUGCGUCGCGCCUCGAUUCAGAGACGCCGCUGUCCCUCUGCAACGCGUCCAUAAUGCGGGCUUGGAGUCCGGAAAUGGAGGGUGACUGAUGGUGGAGGUCUUGCACGCCUCCGGGCGGUGAACGGCGACAGGGAGCUUCGAGCUCCUGCCGGAGUGGUCGACGAACGGUAAGGAAGGAGGCUGGCAUUUGGAGACGUCGCCGCUUUUCUCCGACGCGGCUUCGAGCCGCGACCGGCGUGAAGACCAUCGGACGCGCGACGUCGCAGCAUCAAGCGACGGGAAGAAGAAAGCAGCAGUGGCUGCUGUUGUAAAACAGAUCCAAACCCUGUGGGUUUUGGGCCGCGGGCCCUUGGGCCUUGAGCUGGGCUUGUGCUUCCUUUGUUGGGCUGCCCUUGAUUCUAUGGGCUGCGAAAAUUAUUUAAUGAAAGGGGCUGGGCCUGCAUUUCAUUUAAAUGGUUUUGGACUGGCUGUAACAAAAAAAAAAAUAUUUUAUUAUUUUUGAAUUAAUAAUUGAACCCCAGUUUCAUAAUUAAUUUAUUAAUUGGAUUAAUAAAUUUAAAUUAUUGUUAUUAGUUUUGAAUUAAUAAUAAUAUAAAUAAAUUUAUAUUAAUUUAGAAUUAAUAUAAAUUGAUUAACCUAUAUUUAAUUAGAGAAUAAAAUAUUAAUUUGAUUAAUGAUUUUAUUCGUAGAUAUUUAUGUCUUUAUGUGAUAAGCAUGCUAUUUGAUUUUAUGCUUAUUAUUUAACUAUAGUAGUUAAAGACCGCAUUUAUCUUGGGUAGGCGGCGCUCAGUAUAUGUAGUCCACUUUGUUAUGUAUGGGUAGGCGGCGCCCAAUAUGUGUGGUCCGCAUUUUAUAUGCCUGGGUAGGUGGCAACUAGUAAUUGUUUUGCUAUUUAAUAUUGGAUAUUAAAUAUAAGCAAUUAGUAUCACAUACUAAUUGGAAGUUGGCUUUAAUUUAGUGGGAGUUUUGGUUUGAAUGUCUUAGAAACAAUUUGUAUUGAGACAUCCUUACCUGGUCACAUUUAUAUAUGUUAUUUGAUUUCAUGGGCUAGUGCAUUUAUUAGAAUAUUUGAUUUUAUUGUUUGACUUUAUUCUUUUAUUUGUUCCCUUGAAUUAUCACUACUAUUAAUGAUGUGAGACAUUAAUGGUUUGAGUGUAAUUCUAAAGAUGCCCUAACCAAUGGUCAUCAAGAAUGGAUAUUGAUGAUAUGCGAUAGGUUAGCAUGUGGUUUGCAUCAUAUUCUUAGAGAAUGUAGUUGAUCUCACAACUACGAGUAAUUUGAUUCUCGUGAUGGACACAUGAAUAUUUUGGAGAGUAUUGGUAUACCCUGCUAUUAAAUUAUUUGUUCUAGUGUCUAUGAUUUAAUAGUGUAUGGAGUAUGUAAUAGUCUUUUGACUUGAGGUCAAUACCCAUUUUGUUUGUUGAGUGGUGUGCUUUGACCAAGUACAAUGCUUGCACUCCAUCAAAGGGGUAGAUACGGCUUGUGUUGGGUACAUCAUGAGGCAAAUAGAAAUAGUAGUUGAGCCAAGAAUAUGAUUCAUUCCUCGAUUUGAAUUUCGAGAGAACCCUUCAAAUUCUCUAUAUUAUUUGACCGCAAGUUAUUGGCCAAUGCAAAAUUAUAUUCAAUUAGAGUAAUUGAAUGAUGCGUGUGAUUUAGUUAUCUAUUUUUGUGUCGUUUUCCCGUUGUUUUUGCUCGGAUAUUACCCGUUGUGUGCAAUUUUGACAUAGGGAUUGCAUGGAUGGAGGAGAAAGCUUGAAGAUGGGAGAAUGAAUGAAAGUCGAGAAAUUGGUUGAAGAAUUGGCGAAUUUGUGGAGAGAUUUAGAGAUUUGGGCUUUGGAGAUAUUUAUCUUGUAAUUUAAUUAAGCCAAAUACUCUUUUAAUUAAUUUUGGGCUUUAGUUAUUUUUUGGGAGGGGCCGAAACCCAUGAAAAUUAGGGUGUUCGGCCGCUUAAGAGUGAAUUCCCUUGAGUUUGAUUUCAAUUAGGACUCUUAGUUUAGAGGGAGCCGCAACUUUAGACUAGGAAUUAUAGUUGACUUUGAUUAGGAUUUGAGAUACACUUUUACAUUAUUUUAGCUUGGAGCAGACGUUUUUUUUACUUAUUAGAUUUAGACUUUUAUUUCAUGUUUUUGGGAGUUAAUUGCUUAGGGAUCGUACUUGGCAGGAGACAUCCCUUUCCUUUUGUUCCAAUUGCGGUGAUCUCUUUCAAUUUUAAUUGCAAUUUACUU